rnacentral:rRNA from 1 species
UACGAAGGGGGCUAGCGUUGUUCGGAAUUACUGGGCGUAAAGGGCGCGUAGGCGGCCUUCUAAGUCGGACGUGAAAUCCCUCGGCUUAACCGAGGAACUGCGUCCGAUACUGAAAGGCUUGAAUCCGGGAGAGGGAUGUGGAAUUCCAGGUGUAGCGGUGAAAUGCGUAGAUAUCUGGAGGAACACCGGUGGCGAAGGCGGCAUCCUGGACCGGUAUUGACGCUGAGGCGCGAAAGCUAGGGGAGCAAACGGG